rnacentral:rRNA from 1 species
GAGUCCUCCUUAGUACGAGAGGACCGGGAGGAACGAACCGCUGGUGUACCAGUUAUUCCGCCAGGAGUAGACGCUGGGUAGCCAAGUUCGGAGAGGAUAACCGCUGAAAGCAUCUAAGUGGGAAGCCCACCUUAAGAUGAGUGUUCUCACUACGAGAGUAGGUAAGGUCACGGGAAGAACACCCGUUGAUAGGCUUUAUGUGGAAGUACAGUAAUGUAUGUAGCAGAGAAGUCCUAACAGACCGAGGGCUUGACCUCAAA